rnacentral:rRNA from 1 species
CAAUAGCGUAUAUUAAAGUUGUUGCGGUUAAAAAGCUCGUAGUUGGAUUUCUGCCGAGGACGACCGGUCCGCCCUCUGGGUGAGCAUCUGGAUCGGCCUGGGCAUCCUCUUGGGGAACGUAGCUGCACUUGACUGUGUGGUGCGGUAUCCAGGACUUUUACUUUGAGAAAAUUAGAGUGUUUCAGGCAGGCUAGGCCGGAAUACAUUAGCAUGGAAUAAUGGAACAGGACUACGGUCUCUUUGUUGGUUUGAGAGAUGGCAGUAAUGAUUAAUAGGGAUAGUUGGGGGCAUUAGUAUUUAAUUGUCAGAGGUGGAAUUCUCAGAUUUGUUAAAGACUAACCUAUGCGAAAGCAUUUGCCAAGGAUGUUUUCAUUAAUCAAGAACGAAAGUUAGGGGAUCAAAGACGAUCAGAUACCAU